ensembl:lincRNA
UUGUGCUGUAGUCUGGAUACUAAAGUCAAGCAAUUCUGCUUGUCUCAUUUAGAAUUCGUGGCUGAAAAGCCAAAUUCUCCUGCGUGCAGCUCAGGAAUGCGUAGACUCUUGAAUGCAGAGCCUUUUAUUCUUGCGGGCUUUUUCAGUUUGCCGCGGACAAUUGGAUGUUGUUGAAUACAACGUUUCCGGCCCUCUUCGUAUGCCCGUGACCAUCGUGGACGAUCGCCCACAUCAGAAACUGUGUCACGCCCCGCCGGAGCAAAUCCCACCCUGCUCGUCGGAGCAGGGGAAUCCGGGUUUUGUGUGCGAGACGGAGGGCACCUUUCUCUGUCAAACGGACACGUCCAUCCAUUUUAUCAUCGCCAAGACCACGACGGACUACGACAAGAUGGACUUGGCCCUGGAAAGUGAACAUGGGAUGGUUAUAAAGAAGCUGGAGGUCCUCGAAUGUGAAGUCCAGAAAUCUAACGGUACGUCUUCUGAGCCAUCUACUUUCAUGACAACUGAUCAAGUUCCUCCUACUCAUAAUGGCUCGGCGACCCGAGGUCCCUCAGCUGCGAUUGUGAUUGGUGGUCUGCUGUGUGUGGGGUUCAUCAUAGCAGUAAAGUGCUGGAUCAUAUAAAUGGUAUUAUCUGCUGCUCUCAUCACCAGCGUGGGACCUAAUCAUCAGUGUCUUAUUACAGCAAUGGCUGCUUUAUUUAGACAUUAACAUGAUGAUUAGAUUCCUUCAUGCUAGGUGACAUUGAUCUAUGCACUGUAUAGUAUGCAUGAACAUACUAUAUUAUUUUUAUGCAAAUGCUUUUAUAGACAUGCAAAAUAUAUAUUUACUGUAAUGAAUAAGCUGAGCUUUUUCAUGGUAGUAAGACAAUGAAAAGCUGCAAAUCACUGUGAUUAUUACAUAUUGGAAAGUAUGUCUAAAUUUGAUUUAAAAAAAAGAAAGAAACACAUUCUUAUGAAGAUUUGCACUAUAAGCUUGUCAGAAGCUGUUGUGUUUCUGAAGCAGACUCCAGAAACAAUCAUUACAUAGUGUGAAAUUUAGACUGACAUCAAGGCAAAUGUGGUGAAUUUCAGUAAGUAACAAUUUUCUAGUAGUUCCUAUCGUACACUAAAUUCUAGUUUUAUUGCUCACUAAGGCUCUAGGGAGAAUAAUCAUGGAUACCUACACAAUUGUUUCAUUUUGCUGCAAAAGUAAUAUCACUUCAUUGUAGUGUGACUCCAGGAGUAGCACUAUUGAAUCAGAGCCAGCCUGACAGAGAUACAAAAAACCCCACCGUAUCUGAGGAAAAAAAGUCAAGCUUAUGUACAUGCUUCUUAGAGACUUAGCAUUAACAUGGAAUAAGACAUCUAACAUUUCAUAUUUUUAACCAAACUAAUGAGGACCACAAUUUCAUAUAUGGUUUUGUGGCCACCCAUUACUUAUAAAAAAAAGUAAACAACAUGCAAAAAUCCAUUCAUAAUGCUUAAACCUUAAUUUGUUGACAAGAAAUUUGAUGUAAUGAGAAAUUGUUAUCACUGUAGUGAUAAAAAUUAUACCAAACUUUAACCCUAAAAAUAUGUCCCAACAGCACCUACGUUUUUAGAAGACAUUCUGCUAAACUUGCCAGCUCCACUUUAUUUUCCUGACAUGCUCUAUUGGACAUCAGAUGUCAAAUUAAUCGAAUUUCUUGUCUGGCACAGCUUGUAAUUGACAGUACAUUCAGGCUGCAGCUUGGUGCCACUAGGAACAAGAAUCAGAGCCAAGCUUGCAAUGAUACAUAAAAGAACAACCCCAAUACGUUAGGACAAAUAGUAUUCCAGAGUGCAUUAAAGAAAGACUUAUGUACUUGUUCUUAGAGACAGCUCCUCUUUCAGUGGAAAUACUGUCGGCCCCACCCAAAAACAGAAUUAACAUUAGCUGGGAUUAUGGAGUUUAAACAGCAUGGACAUAAGAAGGUGCUGAAAAUGACUAAAGAGGAUCACACUCAUCUCUUCUGGCUUGGUUUGUGUUUAGGUUGACUUUUUUUCUACCUAGAAUUUCACACCGAUGAUUGCAAUGAGUCAGCUAUAAACAACAUAACAGCUUAUGUAAUGAGUUAAUGUGAAAAGUAAAAAGAAAAGAAAAAAAACAAAUUAAAAAGAAAACAAAUUAAAUGUGAUGGUUUUAAAUAUUCACCAACUGUACCUACCUCCCUUAAUGCAGCUAAUUGUUUGCAGUUGCAAUUAAUUUAUAUAUAGGACAUAAGUUGUCUUUUGUACUGCUUAAUAGGCAUAUUAAUGUUUACAGCUUUUUAAAUGUAAUUGUAAGCACAAUUUGCACUGUUAUUCAAAUUUAAAUAAACUGCUGCUGUGAUAAUAAUGAACAG